rnacentral:lncRNA from 1 species
GGCAUAUCUGAGGUCUUCUUUCAUAGUGACAGUGGCAUAAAAGGACCUUCAUGUCAAACCUAAGGACUGAUCUAGGUACGUCUUUGUCCGGACAUGGCUCCUGCUGGUGUUUUCCGCAGCAGAAAAGCAACGUAAUGCCUGAGCGGCUGCCAGCAGAGAGCACCACUGCUGCCUGCAGAGAUUGAGUGUUGCAGCCUGCGCUGCUCUGCCUGGACAGGCAGCCGUCUCCAGCCUGCAAUGGGAGCAGAGAAACAAACAGCUCCAUUACUUGCGGCAGGGAAAGGAGUGCUGGGCCACUGCAGGGAAAGGCCCUGGCGCCUCUCUGCAUUUGGAAAAGACCCAUGAAAGGGAAGCUUGCGCCAGCUUGGUGAAGGGAAUGAGCUGUUGGAGAUGUAUCAUACCAUGGUCCCAAAGCUCGGAAAAGACAGGCCAAACGAAGGGCACAGGGACACCAGUAUCACCUCCCUCGGUAAUUUCCGUGACAGCUUAGUCAAAGUCAGAGCGAGGUGCUGACUGCAGACUCUGUGUACAGGCUAUCAGUGGAUGGGAAAUUUCCCCUCACUUGUGAAUUUGCAUGUUCUGAAAUAGGCUGGAGAAGCAGAUGGCUUUGGAAGAAGAAACAUAUAAAAAGGGCUGGGAGUCAGCCUCCUGUUUUGCUUAUUAGAUUAAGCCCUUUCUGACAGGGUGAGUGUUCACAUCCAGUUAGGUGAUUCACUAGAGCUGAAUGAAUCAUCAAGAGUGCCUGGAAUUUUCCUUGAGGGUAUUUUCUGGGUAGUUUCCAGGAGUAUUUAUGCACAGUGUGUCCGGAAGCGUCGGCUUGUUAUUCACUGUGACUCCAUCAGGGAGUCAAAAAGAGCAGCAGAUGAGCCUCACAUCUGAGAGGCUGAGGGGCAAAGGAAAAAGUUUUCCAUUACCAUGAUGCUGAAGAAAGAUGGGUGUUGCCAACUACAAGAUCUGUUUGAUAACUGAGCAAAGGUGUAUCUGUGGAAGCAACGUCCUGCCUGAGGUAUUUUUCUUCCUGCUGUGGACUCAAGGAAAAGUAUUACCAUCAAUAUUCAAGCCAUUUUUUGAUCACCAUUUCAGUCCCAACCAUUAAGACCUGCCUGAGAAACAGCAUGUUAAAGCCCCUCAAAGAACACAACAUGGAGCCCACCACAUUCUUCCCACUGUCUCGGUAUGUAAUGAAGCCUAUUUGCCCACAUAGUGUGGCAGGAUGAUAAACAAAUAAAAACACUGCAGAGACACGCA